AUCCCAUUCAUGGAACUAUACUAAUGGAACACCAGCUUCGAGAUUUUAUGAUCAGAGUGCCGUCGCGCAUCUUUUUCGCGCACCAUACCAUUUUGAAAAAUCGAUGAGCAUGCCAAAGAAGAAAUUUACUCCGAGAGCCACUUGGAUUGACCUUCAUUGAGAGUAAAACUUCCCCACACUAUAUUUUAUUAGAUCUGUAAAAACUUUAUCCAUUUUCUGACUAUCUGAUAAAAUAGAUACAAUUUCCCUGAAUAAUGGAACGUCAAAAAAGAUUUUUUUUUAAGGCCACUUCGUUAAAAUAGGUGUUUCCAGUACUUUCUCAUUUGGGUAUUUUACACAAAAUCUGGAAUUUUUUUUUAUGUACAUGUCAUUAUUAUCAUCUGUCCCGCGCAACCAAACCAUGCACUUUUCCCGGUCACCAAUGUUCUUAACAAGAUAUCAAGAGAGAGAGGCUGGUCCAUUAUUUGCAUAGUCCAGACAGCUUUUUUUUUUUGACAACCUUUUUUCGUUCUCUCUCAUGAAGGAUAUGUUUUGAAAAUUAGUCUUACAAAAUACAAUUCCAAACCAACUCAUGCAGUUAUCGUCUUUUCACAGUAUUGAGGAGUCAUCCUUUUUGCUAGCCAGAGUGUUAAUUGGCAAAAGUGAAAAAUUCAUUUGUUUAAUUUUUUAAAGUAAAUAUUCAUAACUAUAUCUUUUAUAUAAUAAUAUAUUUUUAAAAUAAUAAUCUUUUAUAUCGACAUGCUUUAAUAGAUCUAAUAAAUGAUUAACUCGGACCUACCAAUAUGGGUAUAUAAAUACUUAAAUCUGGGUAUUUAAAAUUUCGAAUGCGAAUUAAAAAAAAACCGAACUUAUAUAUAGAUCUAGAUCUCUUGUAUAAUAUCUAGAAUAAUAUAGAUCUACAACACCUAGACUAAAGUUAAAGACUAAGUUAUUAACAAGUAGAACCAUGGCAACCAGUUCUGAUGAUGUACCAGAAUGGCUCAAGGAUCAUACUUAUACUAUUUCUACUCUCUGGGCAGACAUUGAUAAUAUUGGCAUCCAUUCAAUAUUUAAUUUAUGUUUGGAAAUGCAAGAAAAAGGCAUGCAUUCCUGAGGAGUCAAUUAUUGGUUGCACCUCUUAAAGAUAACUUUCUGUUAUGAGAAAAGAUGAGAUUCUUGGACUCCUGCAUAGCACCACCAGAAAGGAAAAUCCCAUCAUGUUGCAAAAUAAAAGUCUUGGACCAAUUUUAAGAUAUAUAUAUUAUACUGUAAGCUGUUUACAUAUUUAUGUAUAUCCUGUCAUUCAGCCAACAGGUUUGGAUUUAGUAUUUCUUUAAAUCUGUUUGAUAUUGUACUUGAAAACUAUUAAUCUGAGCCCCAUUAAAACAAGAGGGAGUGCAGUGGAUGAGUGGUAAGGGAAAUUUUACUUUUUUUAAAUUAAAGUAAGAAUCUAACAAAAGUAAACAUAUAAAAUAUGGUGCAUUCUCCUUAAAACUAAAACCUGGUGCAAAGGUUUAAAAUGUUGGCAAAAAAAAAGCAACAUCAAUUAAAUAUUCUUAAUUCCCUUUGCAAAACUUACUGAGAAGAACAUGCAUGUUGUUCCCUCAUAAGUUUCUUGACAAAGGAAAUCUUGUUUAUAUUAGAUUUGAAUUAAGCAAAUUAAGAAAAAAAUUAUAAUCAUUAUUUCAAAUGGUUGUAUCUAAACCUUAUGAAUUAUUUUUCAGUUAUAAGUAUAUUGAAAUGAAUGGAUAAUCAUGAAAUUGUUAAAUAAUUGCUGCUAUCAUUCCAUUGACUAAAGAACCAUAAUUUUUUUUUUUUAUUAAUUUCAAAAUGAUUUUUUUCAAGCAGAGUUCACAUAGAUCUUGAGUGAAAUUUUUCUUAUUUUUUACUAAUGCUUCAAUUUUAUUGUAUCAUUAGUUUUUUUAUUUUUAUUACCCAGAAUAUUUAAAAAAUGAGUACACUAUUUUCAUGUAAUAAUGUAACUUGGUAUUCACACAUCAAAAUACGCUAUAAUCUUUAGGCCAUAUAGAUUUGUAUAAAUAUAAAUUAAUUUGCUUAAAUACAUUGUAAAUGUAUAUUGUUUGGAUAAGAAUAAAGUUUUUCUGUAGACAAUUAUUGUUCAAGAUUUGUUGAUGCUCCUGCUUAAUAAAUUAUAUAUACAGGUCAUUAGUUUUAACACACUACUGACACAAGAAAAACUGGUCGCCCUCACUUCCAUUACAUAGAUGUAAUAAAACGUGACCUCA